GCCUGGGUGGCUCAGUCGGUUGAGCGUCUGACUUACGCUCAGGUCAGGAUCUCACAGUUUGUGAGUUCGAGCCCCGUGUUGGGCU
rnacentral:tRNA from 1 species